AGUCGAGGGGCAGCACAAAGAUAGUUUACUAUUUUGGUGGCGACCGGCGCACGGGUGAGUAACGCGUAUGCAACCUACCUUAUACAGGAGUAUAGCCCGAAGAAAUUCGGAUUAAUCCUCCAUAGUAUUUUCUAAUGGCAUCAUUUGGAAAAUUAAAGCUUCGGCGGUAUAAGAUGGGCAUGCGUCCUAUUAGCUAGAUGGUAAGGUAAUGGCUUACCAUGGCAACGAUAGGUAGGGGGCCUGAGAGGGUGAUCCCCCACACUGGUACUGAGACACGGACCAGACUCCUACGGGAGGCAGCAGUGAGGAAUAUUGGGCAAUGGAGGCAACUCUGACCCAGCCAUGCCGCGUGCAGGAAGAAUGCCCUAUGGGUUGUAAACUGCUUUUAUUUAGGAAUAAACCCCUCUACGUGUAGAGGGCUGAAUGUACUAAACGAAUAAGCACCGGCUAACUCCGUGCCAGCAGCCGCGGUAAUACGGAGGGUGCAAGCGUUAUCCGGAAUCAUUGGGUUUAAAGGGUCCGCAGGCGGAUGUAUAAGUCAGUGGUGAAAUCCUGCAGCUUAACUGCAGAACUGCCAUUGAUACUGUACAUCUUGAAUUCGGUCGAAGUGGGCGGAAUGUGUAGUGUAGCGGUGAAAUGCAUAGAUAUUACACAGAACACCGAUAGCGAAGGCAGCUCACUAGGCCUGGAUUGACGCUCAGGGACGAAAGCGUGGGGAUCAAACAGGAUUAGAUACCCUGGUAGUCCACGCUGUAAACGAUGAAUUACUCGUUUUCGGCGAUAUACAGUCGGAGACUAAGCGAAAGUGAUAAGUAAUCCACCUGGGG
rnacentral:rRNA from 1 species